rnacentral:rRNA from 1 species
GGGCGUAAGCGCGCGCAGGUGGUUUCUUAAGUCUGAUGUGAAAGCCCACGGCUCAACCGUGGAGGGUCAUUGGAAACUGGGAGACUUGAGUGCAGAAGAGGAAAGUGGAAUUCCAUGUGUAGCGGUGAAAUGCGUAGAGAUAUGGAGGACCACCAGUGGCGAAGGCGACUUUCUGGUCUGUAACUGACACUGAGGCGCGAAAGCGGGGGGAGCAAACAGA